CACGUUACGGACAGGUCCUAGACCUGCUGCGAAGCAAUCUGCGUCUCUGCAGUUUCUUCGAAGUGCAUACUCACAUUGCAAUAUGGAGAUCUGGAACUUCUUUCACCCGGAUCUUCACCUUUCCUGUCCUACAAUCUGAGCCCAGAGCCUGUUGCACUUCGAUGGCAUACUAUACGUAUCGGUGCAACUAAUUUAACUGGCACGUGCAAUACUGCUGUGAACGAUUCCGUAGCUACUCAAACCGGAUUUCUGUUCACCACAUUUGAGCAGAAUUGAUAAAAGUUUUUACUACCUACAAUAAAGUCUCCUCGUCUGGCUGGUCACCAACCACAAGCAUAAAGUGAAAAAUCUCGAGCACUAUUUUUCGUGGGAGUAUCGAAGGAGCAUUGUAUCGACUUCUCAUCGUACUACAUCUUCUACAUUCAACCUACUACACAGCUAUAGUCAUCAGGGAGGCAGAGACAUCCAGGUAAAAUCCAAGACCCCUGAGCUUGGGAACCAGCUCAGGUCUGGUCUUGGUACUGGCAACGAUGGUGAGCGCAGUUAAAGUUCCUCGACUUCUCUGCCAGCUCACGCGAUGGUGAACGCUGGCGUUGGAGUCGUUGUAAUUUAUAAUAUCUCCCCUCCUCUCUCUCCCUCUUAUCACAUGGCGUGGCGGUACCCUGGAUUUUGAUUUUAUUAGAUCAGGUAAUUGUAGGGUUGGUUGUUGUUGAGCAUAGCGCACCUGCACCCUGUAGCGUCAAACAUAUGAAACUUUUUUCUUCAAAUUAAGUACUCAAAAAAUCAAUGGACUGGGCAGUCAGUCGAUUAUUAGUUCAAACAUGAGGUCAGUGAAAAAAUCAAUGAAUGAUUUAGUGUGUCAGUCAGUUUAUUAAUUAAUCAGUUAUUUGAGAAAUCAGUUAACAAUUAAUUCAUUAGAUGUGAACUAUUCGAAUGAAUCACAUCUUUGAUAAAUUCAAGUGCAAGAGUGUGCAGCUCAUAGGCAACGGUACAGACCGUCGUUCAAUCGACUCGCGCGUUUUCUAAUUGUUCUAUAAUUUUCGGUGAUCGAUCUCGCUUGCGUUGAUCACUGAUUGGUAAUAAAAUUUGGUCGUGCGAAUGAUGGUCCUUACCAUAGAUCCAGCUUUUUCAGGUACAUCAGGAAUUGACUUGGAUAGCUUCCGCGAAAAGUCAGAAUUCAUUUAGUCUCAAUUUAAUGAUCAGCCAUCAGCUGAAUCAAUUUUGAAUUUGAUCUCUAUAUUUUUUUAUCUAUUUGCAUGUUUAAAAUUUCAAUUCUUUCAACUCAAUUUUGAUCCAACUUGAACCCGUCUUUAGGUACCGAUAAGUAAAUUCACUAGAACUAUAACAGGAUGUCUAAUCAUUUCAGGAAUUUUCUUCCCUUACACACAAUUUUCAGCCCUUAACUUUUUCUUGCUUAAUGAAUAUUAUAUGAGAUUAAUUAAUCUCAUUUUCUUACUGAUGAUAUUUACUCAAGAGUAAAUUUGCUAAAUUCAUUUAAAGAUCAUUGAUGUUUUUUAAAUUUCGGCCAGAAAACAAACACACCUUUUCUCAAAAUUUAAAUAAAUCACGGCUUCGGCCGGGGCAUGGGCAGCCUUUAUAUUUCUACACACACAACAGGUCAACAGUAAGUUUUUUGAACGAGAUACCACGGCAAUGAAUGUGAGAUGUGAGUGAGACGAAAUUAUCGGUGCGCCGGCGCAAGUAUGAAUUGGGGUUUUCGUCAGUAAAAUCAUUUCUUGGAUAAUUAUAGGUGAAAGGCAGGUAUAGGUAAAUUCAUGCAUCGCGAGGGCAUUUAUAAGCAGUGUGUAUGUGAAUAAUAGUUUUAACCGUUGGGUGGGAUGUGGGCUCCACAAAAUGGGUAGGCAAGAAAUCGGAAGCGCAACUUUUCUUUCCACAGCAAUUCCAAGUGAUCAAUUGAGUAGAAUUCCGAUCAAAUUCCGUUAAUCAAUUUUAUGUAACAUUUAACUCCAUAUUUUUCAAAUAAUUCUUUUUAUGUGGUCUUUUAGGUCUCUUUGCUGAGAUCUGAUAGACACUUUUCCUUCCCAACUAAAUAAAUUAAAUUAGAUUGAGUUUUUUGAUUCCCUGUAAUAUUUGUGGUCACUUGGAAUGGGCAAAAUGCGUUCGCCUUGCUCUCCGUACCAGCCGUGGUGCAUGGAAGUGAGGUGGACGUUGAGCUCGAAGACGUCGCGUCGAAGAGGACCACCGACCGCCACGCCACAAAUUUUCAAACCUUCCCCCUUUCCACUCCCCAAUGUUAAUUGGAAUAGAAGGAUGCGAUUAAAAAUUGCAUUUCUUCGAUUUCCAUUAGCAUAAUUAUUCCAAGUCUGACGCUGCUCGCGCGGGUACAUAGCGCGCGGACGAGGAAUCGCAUGUUAUUUGUUGAUAUAUGUUAUUUCUUGUACGCCCGAUUGGGCCAUUUUUAAAACAAUAACUAGCGUGACUUGCCAUCUUGCAAGGCGCUUUAAAAACUUUGAGAGAUUUUCUUUCAGGAAUUUAAAGUAAAAUAAAAACCCAAGUUUCGUCGCUGCUGCUCGUAUGCGCGCGGACUUGGCACUUAAAACAUAAAUGUCAACGCUUCAUGCGUUUUAAACCCAAAAACCGAAAAAUUGUAAGGAAUCUAGUAUUAUCGCACCUUUUUGUGCGUGGUACUUGACUUCCACGGGAUUAUUUGUAAGAUACUAAUCAAAAUUUUACCUUUCAGAUUAUCAAUGUUAAUAAAAUUUUCUUACAGCUCCUAAUCAAUAUUUUUUAUUUUCAGUUUUCAUACUAAUUUCAAUUUCCUUACAGGUGUUAGGUUUUAGUUUUUAAGUCCAUUGCUAAUCAGAUGUUGUUCACAGGCUGUCUC